CUUCUUAUAGGUACAAGUUUCUAACCAUAAACCAUUUCUGACAUCUUUUAAUAUAUUUUUCUUCAAUUCCUACCAAUCGGCUUGCCAUUCUCUCAUAUGUACUUGAAGAAUCUAGUCGGGACAUAAUCUCUUUGAACAAUGGUGGUUCACCAUUGUUCAAAUACACACGUUUUAAAGAGAAAUAGAUCAGAAAAGAAGAAAAGGAACAGAUUCUGACAGAGGAAGGGAAAAGGAAACAAUAAAAAGGUAAGUUUGAGGUGACAGAGCCACUUUAAUGCCAACAUUGCCAAACUGAAAACAAAACUGAUGCGAAGAAUUAUUUGAAUUCCAAUUUUUUUAUCAUCAUUAAUUUUGAUUUUCUUUUUUUUUUUUUUAAAUACUUUAAAUUCCCAGAAAUUCUAGUUUAGUAACCCUUUAGGUUUACCAAGUGUGAAUCACAACAUACUGACCACACAGUAUAAUCAACUUGCGAGAAUGUAAAAUGUGUUAUGUACAACCGAAGGGGCUUAAGGCCAGGUUACAAUAUAUUUAUUCAAUUCUAG